UCGCUCUUCAACGAGGAAUCCCUAGUAAGCAUGAGUCAUCAGCUCAUGCUGAUUACGUCCCUGCCCUUUGUACACACCGCCCGUCGCUACUACCGAUUGAAUGGCUUAGUGAGACCCUCGGAUCGACUCGCGGAAGCCUUAACCGGCAUCCGUUUGUUGAGAAGUUGGUCAAACUUGGUCAUUUAGAGGAAGUAAAAGUCGUAACAAGGUUUCCGUAGGUGAACCUGCGGAAGGAUCAUUAAUAAUUUGCUGAACCUAGCGUUAGCGGGGUUCUGCGAUCAACUUUAUAUUUAAAACCAAACUCUUAUGUAUAAAAUUAUGUAUUUUUUUUAAUAAAAAUUAAAAGAUCACUUUCAACAACGGAUCUCUUGGCUCUCGCAUCGAUGAAGAACGUAGCGAAGUGCGAUAAGUAAUGUGAAUUGCAGAAUUCCGUGAAUCAUCGAAUCUUUGAACGCAAAUUGCACUUUCUGGUAUUCCGGAAAGUAUGCCUGUUUGAGGGUCAGUUAAAUAAAAAUCGGUGUUGUUGCUACCCGUAGUGGUGUUAAUGCAUCGGAAUUGAGUUGUCUUUACCUUUUUUGGUUGAAGUGACUUAAAAUUACGUACGAUUUUUUGAACGUAUUUAAAUUAUUUACGUAUGUUCAUAAUAUCAAAUAUUAGGUGCGGUCAUCCUUAUGAUUCACAUCUAUAAUUUUUCAUUAUUUGACCUCAAAUCAGGUAAGAGUACCCGCUGAACUUAAGCAUAUCAAUAAGCGGAGGAAAAGAAAAUAACAAUGAUUCCCUUUAGUAACGGCGAGUGAAGGGGGAUAAGCUCAAAUUUUAAAUCUGCUAGGUUUUACUUAUCAGAGUUGUAAUUUGAAGAAACGUUUUCCGCGUCUCGGUUGACCCAAAUCCUUUGGGAUAAGGUAUCAUGGAGGGUGAGAAUCCCGUUCGGUUGACCUUAUGACGCUUUACGAUACGUUUUCUAAGAGUCGAGUUGUUUGGGAUUGCAGCUCAAAAUGGGAGGUAAAUUUCUCCUAAGGCUAAAUAUUGGCGAGAGACCGAUAGCGAACAAGUACCGUGAGGGAAAGAUGAAAAGAACUUUGAAAAGAGAGUAAAAUAGUACGUGAAAUUGUUGAAAGGGAAACGAUUGAAGUCAGUCAUACCAACGGGAAAUCAACCUCUUGAGUUUGGUCUUGUGGGUUUCGAAGAGUUUAAAAACCUUCGGAUUUGCGAGGAUUGGGCUCUUCUGGUGUACUUUCUCGUACGGUUAGUCAACAUCGGUUUUGAAUGUCAUAGAAUGACUGGAGGAAUGUGGCUUCGAUCUCGUAUUGAAGUGUUAUAGCCUUUGGUAGAUGUGAUGUUUGAGACCGAGGAUUGCAACGGAUACCCUUCUGGGCUAUUCGUCUGAUCUCUGAUACGUUGCCUUGAUGUCGAAAGCUUGCUUAUGAUGUUAGGGUAUUACGGUCAAAAGGUUAGAACGGAUUAAAUUCGUUAAGGAUGUUGACGUAAUGACUUUAAACGACCCGUCUUGAAACACGGACCAAGGAGUCUAACAUAUGUGCGAGUGUUU
rnacentral:rRNA from 1 species